rnacentral:rRNA from 1 species
CCUACGGGAGGCUGCAGUCGAGAAUCUUCGGCAAUGGGCGCAAGCCUGACCGAGCGACGCCGCGUGCGGGAUGAAGGCCUUCGGGUUGUAAACCGCUGUCAGAGGGGAGGAAAUGCUUGGGAGUUCUCUCUCAUGUUUGACCUAUCCUCAGAGGAAGUACGGGCUAAGUUCGUGCCAGCAGCCGCGGUAAUACGAACCGUGCGAACAUUAUUCGGAUUCACUGCGCUGGAAGCUGGGAAAGGCGGCUGGGAAAGCCCUCGGCUCAACCGAGGAAUUGCGCCCAAAACUACCUGGAUUGAGGAAGAUAGAGGUAAGCGGAACUAAUGGUGGAGCGGUGAAAUGCGUUGAUAUCAUUAGGAACACCUGUGGCGAAAGCAGCUUACUGGGUCUUUUCUGACGCUGAUGCACGAAAGCUAGGGGAGCGAACGGGAUUAGAUACCCCAGUAGUC